rnacentral:rRNA from 1 species
AACAAGGAUUCCCUUAGUAACUGCGAGUGAAGAGGGAAAAGCUCAAAUUUAAAAUCUGGCAGUGUUUCACUGUCCGAGUUGUAACCUAGAGAAGUGUAACCUGCGCUGGACCGUGUAUAAGUCUCCUGGAAUGGAGCAUCACAGAGGGUGAGAAUCCCGUCUUUGACAUGGACCACCAGUGCAUUGUGGUUGUGCUCUCAACGAGUCGAGUUGUUUGGGAAUGCAGCUCUAAAUGGGUGGUAAAUUCCAUCUAAAGCUAAAUAUUGGCGAGAGACCGAUAGCGAACAAGUACCGUGAGGGAAAGAUGAAAAGAACUUUGGAAAGAGAGUUAAACAGUAUGUGAAAUUGUUGAAAGGGAAACGUUUGAAGUCAGUCGCGUUGGUUGGGGAUCAGCCUGACAUUGUUGGGUUUACUUCCUGGUCGACGGGCCAACAUCAGUUUUGACUGCCAGAAAAAGGCCAAAGGAAUGUGGCACCUUUGGGUGUGUUAUAGCCCUUGGUCGUAUAUGGUGGUUGGGACUGAGGAAAGCAGCGUGCCGAAAGGCCGGGUUUCGACCACGUUCACGCUGAGGAUGUUGGCAUAAUGGCUUUAAGCGACCCGUCUUGAAACACGGACCAAGGAGUCUAACAUGCAUGCGAGUGUUUGGGUGGAAAACCCUUACGCGUAAUGAAAGUGAAAGUUGAGAUCCCUGUCGCGGGGAGCAUCGACGCCCGGACCAGAACUUUUGGGACGGAUCUGCGGUAGAGCACGUAUGUUGGGACCCGAAAGAUGGUGAACUAUGCCUGAAUAGGGUGAAGCCAGAGGAAACUCUGGUGGAGGCUCGUAGCGAUUCUGACGUGCAAAUCGAUCGUCAAAUUUGGGUAUAGGGGCGAAAGACUAAUCGAACCA